rnacentral:tRNA from 1 species
AAAAUCCGUCGACUUUAUAUAUCGUGAGGGCUCAAGUCCCUCUAUCCCCA